AACGUAGGACACAAGCGUUAUCCGGAGUUACUGGGCGUAAAGAGCUCGUAGGCGGUUUGUCGCGUCUGCCGUGAAAGUCCGGGGCUCAACUCCGGAUCUGCGGUGGGUACGGGCAGACUAGAGUGAUGUAGGGGAGACUGGAAUUCCUGGUGUAGCGGUGAAAUGCGCAGAUAUCAGGAGGAACACCGAUGGCGAAGGCAGGUCUCUGGGCAUUAACUGACGCUGAGGAGCGAAAGCAUGGGGAGCGAACAGG
rnacentral:rRNA from 1 species